UACGAAGGGAGCAAGCGUUAUUCGGAAUCACUGGGCGUAAAGGGUGCGUAGGCGGCCCGCUAAGUCAAUUAUUAAAGCCCACGGCUCAACCGUGGAUCUGUAGUUGAUACUGGCAGGCUAAGAGGACGAGAGAGAGAAGUGGAAUUCUCGGAGUAGCGGUAAAAUGCGUAGAUCUCGAGAGGAACACCGAUAGCGAAGGCAGCUUCUUGGCUCGUACCUGACGCUGAGGCACGAAAGCGUGGGUAGCAAACAGGAUUAGAUACCCUGGUAGUCCACGCCGUAAACGAUGAUCACUAAAUGUUGGUUUCGCUUAGCGAAAUCAGUGUUAAAGCUAACGCGUUAAGUGGUCCGCCUGAGUAGUACGGUCGCAAGAUUAAA
rnacentral:rRNA from 1 species